rnacentral:rRNA from 1 species
CACAGGUGGGAUUGCGUUUUGAAAUAUUGAAUAGGCAUUAAGUGUGAUUAGGUGGCUGAGGUCUACCCCUGAGGGGCAGGCAGGCUUGAGUUCUAAGAGGAGAGUUAGAGGAAUAACUAAAAGAAGGAUGAAAUCUAUAGAUAUUAGUUGGAACAUCAAAAGCGACAGCAUCACUCUAUUUUAGGACUGACACUGAAUCACUAAAGUGUGGGGAGCAAAACGG